UACGAAGGGGGCUAGUGUUGUUCGGAUUUACUGGGCGUAAAGCGCACGUAGGCGGUUUGUUAAGUCAGGGGUGAAAUCCCGGAGCUCAACUCCGGAACUGCCUUUGAUACUGGCAAGCUAGAGUCCGGAAGAGGUAAGUGGAACUCCUAGUGUAGAGGUGGAAUUCGUAGAUAUUAGGAAGAACACCAGUGGCGAAGGCGGCUUACUGGUCCGGAACUGACGCUGAGGUGCGAAAGCGUGGGGAGCAAACA
rnacentral:rRNA from 1 species